rnacentral:tRNA from 1 species
CAAGACGUAGCUUUAAUUAAAGCAUUCAGCUUACACCUGAAAGAUGCCUGCUAACACCAGACCGUCUUGA